rnacentral:lncRNA from 1 species
CUGCUAUUGAAUUGUGGUCAAGGAAUUUAAGAGCUCCUUUUUAAACAGUUUUUAAACUACUUUUUCUUAUUUGCUAAUAGCUUUUGGACAUGAAGCACAGGAUCCUGGUGAUGUGAAGAGCAGGCAAGAGGGAGCACUGGGAGCCUUCAGUGCUUCAUCUCCAUGGUAUCCUCUGACACCACUGUGUCAUCGCCAUUCUCUACUGGUGAGCAGCACCACACAUGAAUGUUGCUCACUGGCACAUAGCAGGAAGGCACUGAUGGAGAGCUGCCACCUCUUGGAUCUGGGACACAGGAGCUGCUCAGAGAAAACCCUCUCAGGGCUGCUCAGAUGGGCAGCCCACCUGAACAC